rnacentral:rRNA from 1 species
AUUGAACGCUGGCGGCAGGCCUAACACAUGCAAGUCGGGCGAGAGGCGGACGGGUGAGUAAUGUAUGGGGAUCUGCCUGAUGGCGGGGGAUAAACAAUGGAAAGGGUAGCUAAUCACGCAUAAAAUCAGAUGAACCAAUAGGGGAUUGGCUUGUGGGUGAGGGAACGGCUGACAUAGGCGACGAUCCCUAGCUGGUCUGAGAGGAUGAACAGCCAUACGUGUACUGAGACACGGCCCAGACGCCUACGGGAGGCAGCAGUGGGGAAUAUUGCACAAUGGGCGCAAGCCUGAUGCAGCCAUGCCGCGUGGAUGAAGAAGGCCUUCGGGUUGUAAAGUACUUUCAGUCGGGAGGCGUUACCGACAGAAGAAGCACCGGCUAACUCCGUGCCAGCAGCCGCGGUAAUAC